rnacentral:rRNA from 1 species
GACGAACGCUGGCGGCGUGCUUAACACAUGCAAGUCGAGCGGUAAGGCCCUUUAGGGGUACCACGGAGCGGCGAACGGGUGAGUAACACGUGGGCAAUCUACCUUCAGUCUGGGAUAACCUUCCGAAAGGAGGGCUAAUACCGGAUGAUGUCCUGUUGGGGCAUCCUGAGGGGAGCAAAGGGGGCGACCCGCAAGGGGCGUCUCGCUGGAGGAGGAGCCUGCGUCCGAUUAGCUAGUUGGUGGGGUAACGGCUCACCAAGGCGACGAUCGGUAGCCGGCCUGAG